rnacentral:pre_miRNA from 1 species
GUCCUACUCCCUCCGUUCCAAAUUACUCGUCGCAGAAAUGGAUGUAUCUAGAACUAAAAUGCAUUUAGAUACAUCCAUACCUGCAACAAGUAAUUCGGAACGGAGGGAGUAUAAU